rnacentral:tRNA from 1 species
UCACCGAUAGUUUAGCUGGUAAAACAUGUGGUUUUGAGCCACACAUCCUACGUUCGAACCGUGGUCGGUGAGC